GUUUUCACUUUAAUGGAUCCUUCGGGUUACUCAAAUUCAUUUAGGGUUUGUAGGGGGUCCUGAUUUUGUUCAAAUUGUAAUGAUAAACCUUAAAUGGGAGUAUUCUUUCUUAGGGUUCCGUUCAGAUUGAAGAUCCGAACACGAAUUUCUGAAGAUUUGUCACCAUUGGUAUCUCUUUUUACCGAAGAUUCGAACACGAAUUACCGGGUUUCGUUAGCACGCUUAUCUUGACUUGAAUUCUUCGGACGGAGGAACGCUUCAUGUCAAACUUUCGGAAGGACUCAGCUGAGGAUUGCAGCUUAGAUUUACAACCUGUAAUUAAGUACAGACAAAAUGGUGUUGUCUUGUUACACAUCUAUUGUAUUUCUGAUGUGUUGGUAUGCUUUUAAUAUUGGGUUUUUGGGUGUGACAAGGUAUUGACUGUUCGAAUCUGGGUCAAUACAGAAGAACACCACCAAGCUGGUUGGAACUUUUCUUCUCCUGAUGUUGAAGAUAACACAUGUAAGUUCGCAAAGAACUGGUUGACUCCAUCUCAGAUUGAUGUCAUUCUCAGGGAUUCACAUGGUUUAAGAGUUUUGCAUAUUCUUAAGGCUCAUGUUGCAGAAUGCCGAUCUCCUGGACAGUGAAAUCAUAUAUGACAGAGAUUUUGACUAUGAUUAUUUUGGUUUCAAAACCCUUGAAAGAUCCUACCUGUUGAAGGUGCAAGGCAAGGUUGUAGAAGACCACAACAUAUGUUGAUGAGAGUUGCUGUUGGAAUCCGCAAAGACAAUAUUGAUUCUGUUCUCAAAACAUAUCAUCUAUGCCACAACGUUGGUUUACCCAUGCUUCUCCUACUCUUUUCAAUCUAGGGACACUCAGGCCUCAAUUGAGUAGCUGCUUCCUUGUGUGCAUGAAAGAGCACAGUAUUGAAGGAAUAUAUGGAACUUCGAAGGAGUAUGCUGUUAUUAGUAAAUCUGCUGAAGGAAUUGGAGUUUCUGUGCACAACAUCUGUACCACUGGUAGUUAUAUCUUUGGUACUAAUGGAACAUCUAUUGGAAUUGUUCCAAUGCUAUGAGUAUUCAAUGACACUGCCCGUUGUGUUGAUCAAGGAUGACGUAAUGUCUUCUGCCUUGAUAUACUUUCUUGUGUUAGCUUCCUGUACAGGUACUUGGAUGUGCAUAUAUUAGGUUUCUAUUGUUGACCCAAUAUUGUUAACCCUGGAUUUUUCCGGGUUGAGACUCUGUAAAAAGCUAUUAUCAAUCGUUCAUUCAGGUGAUAUUGCUGUCUACCUAGAGCCAUGGCAUGCCGCUGUUUUCGAGUUCCUAGACCUAAGGAAGAAUCAUGGAAACAUAUUGUUGGAUGAUUUAUUGAUUUCACCUGCCGUCAGAAUUUGUCCAAUAAGUGAUGUAAGUGGCAGUAACAUAGAAUAGGAAUUCCUAUAACGUCUUUAUAAUUGAACGUCUGGAUUCUGCCUUGCAGGAUACUGUGUUUUGGUUGUCUCUGAAUAUUUUGUAUAAACCUUCGAAAUACACACAAGAGCAAGCUGCAGUUAGAGCAUCCUCAGGAGAUUUCAGCCUGCGCAUUCUGUCAAUAGCGGGUGCCUCGCUGCCGGGUCUUCUGAAAUAUAGCUGACAGUGAUUCUUAAUGAGCUGGUCUGCACAAAGAUACAGCCUAAUUCUGAUCGAUAGAGUUCAUUUGAUUGAGAAAGACAAGCUUGUUGGGUUUGUUCUAGAUUGUCAGUUUGUGAGCAUGAUCAGAGUUGUGUUCAAAAAUAUGUUGGAUAAAGAGAAUUGAGAUGGGCCAGAUGAUGCUGUUGAUGUUUUCCUUACAUAUUUUGGUGUUGUUCUGGCACGGCUGCGCUUCAAAAAAAAAAAAAGACUCAGCCUAACAAGCAAACCCUUAUUAGAGCCACGUGUGGGUUGGAUUUAGAGAGGAUUCGCUUUCAUGGUUCAGAUUCUCCUCAAUCUGCUGCCAGGGAGAUCCUUCUUCUUUCUUUGGGGAGGUGUCGUUACAGGGUGACAGUUGCUUUUCAGUAAAGCGACAACUUGUAACAUAGAGAAGCAGCUGUAAACUGGAGAGUGUGGACCAAGUUGAAGAAAAUCUUUUGCCAUGAGUCUCGAGUCCAACCAACCAUCUUCAGCAUCAGUUUUCAGUAGCUGGUUGUAUAUGAAUGAAUAAUUACUCUUUUGUACUUUAAUCAACACUAAUUGUUCCAUCUACGGGCUGUAUAAUUCUUCUAUGUACGGACAUCCAUUGUGUCUGUGUCCCGACAUCCAUCAUUUGAAUAUCCAUAAGGUGGAGCACCUUUUUUCGUACUUGAUAAAAUGACGACCGCUGCAUUACUGUUGAAA